rnacentral:rRNA from 1 species
UUCCAUCUGGAAGAAUCUGGAGACAGGUGCUGCAUGGCUGUCGUCAGCUCGUGUCGUGAGAUGUUGGGUUAAGUCCCGCAACGAGCGCAACCCUUGCCUUUAGUUGCCAGCAGUUUCGGCUGGGCACUCUAAAGGGACUGCCGGUGUUAAACCGGAGGAAGGUGGGGAUGACGUCAAGUCCUCAUGGCCUUUAUGACCAGGGCUACACACGUACUACAAUGGCCGAUACAAAGGGCAGCGACACUGCGAGGUGAAGCCAAUACCCGUAAAAUCGGUCUCAGUCCGGAUUGGAGUCUGCAACUCGACUCCAUGAAGUUGGAAUCGCUAGUAAUCGUGGAUCAGCAUGCCACGGUGAAUACCGGUUCCCGGGCCUU